AAUAUAUUUUAUUUUGGUAUUUUAAUUUUUUAUGUUCUUUUAUUUACAUACAAAUUUUUGUGUUUUGUAUUUUAAUAUUUAAAAUGUAGUAAUUAUUGUUACUUUUUUAAUGAGAUUUAGACUUAUAAAUAGAUUUAAAGAUUCAACUAAUUUUGUGCCAGCAGUUGCGGUUACACAAUUGAAUCAGAAAAAUUUUUAAAAUAAAUUAAUUAUUCAUUAUUUAGAUUAAAAAUAAAAAUUUAAAGGUAAAAUUUUAUUUUUUAGGAAAAAUCUUUAUUUAUAAUUAAGAAAUUAAUCUAUAAACCAGGAUUAGAUACCCUGUUAUUAAAAUGUAAAUUUAUUGGAGUAGUAAGAGUUAAGAUCUUUAAACUCAAAGAAUUUGGCGGUAUUUCAUCUUAUUAGAGGAACCUGUUUAUUAAUUGAUAUUCCACAACUUAAAUUUACCUUUAUGAGAUUAUUUGUAUACCGCUGUCAUGAAUCUAUUUAAAAAUUAUUUUCAGAAUUUUUUAUUGAAGUUAUGUUAGGUCAAGGUGCAGUUUUUAGGGGAUAAAAUGGGUUACUUUAUUUAAUAUGAAUGAAUUUUCUUGAUAGUUAAGUUAUAAAAAUGGAUUUAUAAGUAAAGAGAUUAUUAAAGAUUUUAUAUGAAUAAAGAUUCUGAAAUAUGUACACAUUGCCCGUCGCUCUUGCUUAAAGUAAGAUAAGUCGUAACAUAGUAGAUGUACUGGAAAGUGUCUCUGGAAUUGG
rnacentral:ncRNA from 1 species